rnacentral:tRNA from 1 species
GGUUCCACGGUGUAAUGGUUAGCACUCCAGACUCUGAAUCUAGCAAUCCGAGUACAAGUCUCGGUGGAACCU